ncrna:unclassified sequences S15-Flavobacteria ribosomal protein leader
UACAUUUGCACCCUCAUACAUAAUAAUCAUUUAAAUAAUAUUGGAAUG